CGAACGCUGGCGGCGUGCUUAUCACAUGCACGUCUACCGGAAAUGCCCUUCUUUUUUGUGGUGCUCGUGUGUCGAACUGGUGUGUAACUCGUUUGUAACCUGCCCUUUUCUUUUGGUUAACUUCUGGAAACUGUGGCUAUUUCCUGAUAGGUGCUCCUUCUGCAUGGUGGGGGUUGUAAAGUUUCGGCGGUUGGGGAUGGACUCGCGGGUUAUCAGCUUGUUGGUGGGGUAGUGGCUUACCAAGGCUUUGACGGGUAGCCGGCCUGAGAGGGUGACCGGCAAAAUUGGGACUGAGAUACGGACCAGAAUGAUACGGGAGGCAGAAGUGGGGAAUAUAGCACAAUGGGCGGAAGCAUGAUGAAGAAACGCAGCGAGCGGGAUGAAGGGCUACGGGUUGUAAAAAGAUGGAGAAUGUGAAGAAGAGAGAGUGACGGUAAUGGGUAAAGAAGCAACGGCUAACUACGUG
rnacentral:rRNA from 1 species